UACGUAGGCAGCGAGCGUUUGUUCGGGAUGUUACUGGGCGUAAAGAGUGCGUAGGCGGUUUUCUAAGUUUGGUUGUGAAAUCGCUCGGCUCAACCUGGGCGGGUCCAUGGAACUGGGUCAGCUGGAGUACGGAAGAGGCGAGUGGAAUUCCUGGUGUAGCGGUGAAAUGCGCAGAUAUCAGGAGGAACACCAAUUGCGAAGGCAGCUCGCUGGGACGUUACUGACGCUGAGACGCGAAAGCGUGGGGAGCAAACAGG
rnacentral:rRNA from 1 species